GACAGAGGAUGCAAGCGUUAUCCGGAAUGAUUGGGCGUAAAAGCGUCUGUAGGUGGCGUUUUUAAGUCCGCCGUCAAAUCCCAGGGCUCAACCCUGGACAGGCGGUGGAAACUACCAAGCUGGAGUACGGUAGGGGCAGAGGGAAUUUCCGGUGGAGCGGUGAAAUGCGUAGAGAGUCGGAAAGAACACCAACGGCGAAAG
rnacentral:rRNA from 1 species